AGGAGUGAACGCUGGCGGUGUGCUUAACACAUGCAAGUCGAACGGAGGUUUUAAGUCGGGAAGUUUCGGAUGGAAGUUAAGGAACUAGUGGCGGACGGGUGAGUAACGCGUGGGUAACCUGCCUCAUACAGGGGGAUAACAGUUAGAAAUGACUGCGUAAGACCGCAUAAUAUAGCGAAACCGCAUGAUUUUGCUAUCAAAUAUUUAUAGGGUAUGAGAUGGGCCCGCGUCUGAUUAGCUAGUUGGUGGGGUAAAAGCCUACCAAGGCGACGAUCAGUAGCCGGCUUGAGAGAGUGACCGGCCACAUGGGACUGAGACACGGCCCAAACUCCUACGGGAGGCAGCAGUGGGGAAUAUUGGACAAUGGGGGAAACCCUGAUCCAAGCGACGCCGCGUGAGUGAAAGAAGUAUUUCGGUAUGUAAAGCCCUAUCAGCAGGGAAGAUAAUGACAGUACCUGACUAAGAAGCCCCGGCUAACUACGUGCCAGCCGCCGC
rnacentral:rRNA from 1 species